AUACUUAGCUGGUGGGGGAGAUACCAUGACCAUGACAGUAGUCUUCCCAGAGCGAGGCUUAUCCAUUGCACUCCAGAUAUGUUGACCCCUGUGAUUUCCCCACGUGUGGGAAACUCGACUGCAUAAUUUUGGUAGUGGGGGGACUGUCACAAUUCCACAAUUUCCCCUG
rnacentral:snRNA from 1 species